rnacentral:rRNA from 1 species
UAGUCAUAUGCUUGUCUCAAAGAUUAAGCCAUGCAUGUCUAAGCACAAGCCGAUUAAUGGUGAAGCCGCGAAUGGCUCAUUACAACAGCCAUAGUUUCUUAGAUCUUACUUUUCUACUUGGAUAACUGUGGUAAUUCUAGAGCUAAUACACGCAAACAAGCUCAGACCUUACGGAAUGAGCGCAUUUAUUAGAACAAAAACCAAUCGGAUCUCGGUCCGUCAUUUGGUGAAUCUGAAUAACUUUGCUGAUCGCACGGUCAUCGUACCGGCGACAUAUCUUUCAAAUGUCUGCCUUAUCAACUUUCGAUGGUAGUUUAUGCGCCUACCAUGGUUGUAACGGGUAACGGAGAAUAAGGGUUCGACUCCGGAGAGGGAGCCUGAGAAACGGCUACCACAUCCAAGGAAGGCAGCAGGCACGCAAAUUACCCACUCCCGGCACGGGGAGGUAGUGACGAAAAAUAACGAGACGGCUCGCUAUGCGGUCCGUCAUCGGAAUGGGUACAAUUUAAAUCCUUUAACGAGGAUCUAUU